rnacentral:tRNA from 1 species
GCACCCAUAGCUCAAUGGAUAGAGCGCAGGCCUCCGGAGCCUGAAAUAGCGGUUCGACUCCGCUUGGGUGUA